rnacentral:snRNA from 1 species
GUGCUCACUUUGGCAGCACAUAUACUAAAACUGGAACGAUACGGAGAAGAUUAGCAUGGCCCCUGUGCAAGGAUGACACGCAAAUUCGUGAAGCGGUCCAUAUUUAU